rnacentral:lncRNA from 1 species
AAAAAGUCUUCCUCUCCCCUUUGUGCCGUCCAAAGAUUGAAGGGAAAGGAGGAAAAGCUUAUUUGUUUUUCCAUGGUUUUUACCAUCCAAAAUUGAUAAGGUAAGAAUCUUUUUUCUUCAUUGAUUUUUAUGAAUUUAUAAACAUCUCAACUUAACGUUUAUUACCCAUUAAUUAGAUUUUCAAAUUGUUAAGUUGAAUACAAGUUGUCAAUAAUGGAUAGUUGAUGAAAUUGAGCUUAAUUUUGACGAGAAAUUGAAGUAUGAGUUUUGAGCAUGUUAGGACUAAGUUGAAAAGUAGAGAAAAGUGUUGGAUUUGUUAGAAAUUUAACUAGGCUUUAUAGAUAAUUUUAUGAUAUUAGAGACUAAAGUACCUAAUUUAAUAGCAAAAGGACCUUAAUUAAUAUAACAUUGAUAGUUUGGGAAUAUAAUUAGGAUGUUUUGAAGUUUGGGGAUCAAUUUAGAAUGAAGGUCAUAGCUUGGAGAUGUAGGUUAGAAUAACUCAUUUUUUAUACAAUGCCUACCCUACUCAUAAAUCCCCCAAAUCCUUAAAUCGGAGAAAAAUAUGCUCUUAAGAGCGUUUAGACCCACGUCUUCCUAGUUGAAAUUAGACUUUAAUAAUUAUUAGACAUAACAGUAAAUCUAGACCUCAACGCUUACAUUCUUUUGUCAAUUUGACACUUAUGAUUUUUUGAGCUAAAUUUGGUCAUUAACAUUUCAAAAUGAUUCAAAUCCUUUUUCUUUAACGAAAAUAUUGACUAAAACAUUAUUUUUAACGAUGUUAGUGUGACAGUCCGUGUGGCAUCCACGUGUACUUCAACCCAACAUCACAUUAUUUGUCUUAUAUGCCACAUUAACAACUAAUUUAAAAUUUAUAAAAAUAUCCAAAAAUUAUAAAAUUAUAAAAAAAAUUAUAAACAUCCGCAUGAAAUACACGUGGAUUGUCAUGUUUUUGAAAAUUUAAUGUUUUAGUUGGUAUUUUCAUUAAAUAAUAAUAAUUCGACUCUUUUUUAAACGUUGAUGGAAAUGUUUGACUUUUUUUUUUAAAUGUUGAGGGUUAAAUUUAACUAAAAAAAUAAGAAUCAAAUUGACAAAAAAUGUAAACAUUAACUGCUAAAUUUAUCAUUAUGUCUUAUUAAACUUAAGAAUUAUAUACUCAAAUUUUGUAAUUGGUGGAGUUCAUGACUUUACAAUGUAUAAACAAAAACUAUUUACUUCAUUUCCUAAGUCAAAUUUUUUCUUUAAAUCGGAAUAUUUCCAAUUUUACUUUUAAUUUUCUAAGAGAAGAUAAGUAUAGAAAGAAUAAGCAAAAGAUGAGGAAGUUUUUGAGUGGUGGCAAAGUGACAAAUGGAGAGGUAUUGAGCUGUGCAAUCAUGGGAUGAGACCAAACACCCAACACUCCCCAUCACAUUUUGUCAAACUCAAAGGCCAAGUUGCCAACCCCUUGGCCAUUGGCUCCAUCCUAUUUCCCACCACUAUUUGAUGUAUAUUUGGCCCUUUUCUAUGUUCUCUCUAUAUCUCAAAUUCUCAAAAAAAAAAACCUCUUCUUAUCCCAAGUUUUGAAGUACCCAAUUCUCCGAAAUCGACUGAUUGGCACUUUGCUAAAAUUUACUCAACUAUAAUAAAUGAGUCCCCACAUUCCUUUUAGGGUUGCAAUAUGCUUGGGAAAACAAUUGCUAUUAUUCACUCCACUAUAAUGUGGUUUGACAUGUCGAGAAUGAUGUACAUAAAUGGACCUACUAAAACUAAUAAGAAAAAGGAGUGGCUAUAUCCACAAUUUAUGUUUUUUUUUAACAAUCUCAUUAUAAGAUUCUUUUUGACACAAUUCUUAGAACUACCCAUAGCCCCUCCCCAAUCUAUAAAUAAGAGGAUAAUGUGCUUCAGCGUAUUCAAACCCACGUCCUCCUGCAUUAACAACAAUACCCAUACCAAUCAAGUUAAGAUCCACUGAUCAACCACAACAAUAAUAUAAUUAUAUUAUGUCUUUAUUGCUAAAAUUUGUGAAUUUUCCUUAUAUAAUGUCAACAUACUUUUCAUAAUAUAAUUAAUAUAAAUACAUAUUCAAUGCUUUUUUAAAUAAUUAAUAUAAAUAUGCUUUCCAAUAAAAUUGCAAUUGAUUACAUUUCAUUUUUUAUUGAAAUUAAUGGUUUUAAUUUAUGAUCACAUCAUAUAUUAUAAAAAAAAAUUGAUGUAAAAAUAUAAUUAUAAGAGAGAGAAAAAUGAAAAGAUUGGUGAUGGAUUUAAAAUUAAGUUAGUUCAUAUUAAUGUAUAUGAUCACUAUUUCAUAUACAUAUUAUCACAAGAUAAUAACAUGUGCUAUAAUAAAAUAUCUUACUAAGUUAGGUGUUACAAGUCAAGUGACACCAAUUCAAUUGAUAAAAAUACGAAAAAGUUAAAGUUGUCGUUUUAAAAAAUAUAGAGAUAAUUAGGCGAAUACACAGUUCAAAGUGGCUUUAAAUGGCUAAUGACUAAGACUCUACACCUGCAGGAUUAUAUUACAGACCAAAUUACCAAAAAAUAAUAUUUUACAAAGAUUUGAAAUCUCCUGAUCCUAAGUAAAAUAAAAAUACAUCUGUGGCGAGUUGCCAAUAAUUUUCUUCUGACACUCAGUACUCUUAGACUUCGAAGAAUCAGGAGCGAUGCUGCAUGUUCAGUCUGCUCAGUUGAAGAAGAAACCGUGGAACACCUCUUUCGAGAUUGCGAAUUCACAAAACAGGUCCUACAGGAAGUUGGGUUGGACACCUCGCACAUAAACGCAAGUCAUACAUGGAAACAAUGGUCAGCCUCUUUCUUCCAAAUGAAUAAUAUUAAAAUAUGUACUACCAUGGCAAUUACUAUUUGGGCAAUAUGGUACCAUAGAAAUAGAAUUUACUACGAAGGAAAAAAGGAAAGGGUACAAGAGGUUGUCGAUUUUAUUAGAGCUAUUUACGAGAGUUAGGGCAAGUUAAAUCCUCAAUAAAAACUAGACUCAGUCCAAGAGAGGUAUUUUGGAGACUCCCCAAGGAAGAUCAAGUCAAAGCCAAUUUUGACGCAGCGUAUUCACAACAAGACAUGACAGCAACUGUGGGAGUUGUUAUAAGAAAUCAUGAAGGAUUUGUUAUGGGAGCAUGUCCUUACCCACUAGGAAGAAUAGGGGAUCCAACCACUACUGAAGUGAAGGCGUGUCUACAUGCCGUCAUAUUUGGGGAAGAAAUGGGCUUUCGAGAUCUGGUUGUCGACGGUGAUUCCCUUACAGUCAUUAAAAAGCUUAAGUCAGAUUCAGUGGAUAGAUCGGUGAUUGGCAACAUCAUUAGUGAAAUCCAAAGAAAAAUACUCAGCUUUGUUACCUUAUCUUUUGAGUAUACCCCUCGAAAGACAAAUGAAUAAGCACAUGCCCUUGCAACUCGAGAAUACAACCUAGAUAACCCAUCCUAUUGGAUUAAAGAAGUACCAACAAAGAUUGAACCCAUCAUUGCCAACGACCAAAGAAGACUCUAGAAUCGGUAGAAAUAGGACAUUUUUGUUCGAGUCCGGGGAUGCAACACAAAAACGUCUGUCCUCACCACCCUCUGAUGAACUCAGAUUUAGGAGAAAUCUGGUAUGGCGCUUCAAUGAGACUCUUUUGAGGUGAUGAAAAGGCACAACCAGUAUCCUCCACCACAACAACUAUAGAUGCAAGAAAGAGGAAAUGUGAUUCUGAUUGACGAUAGGAUUUAGGCUUUUUUAAGUUUUCUUAGGUUUUUGCUUUGAUUAUAGCCUUAAAAGAGGCGUUUUAAUUUCUUUUAUUUUUUCUUUACUGUUAGGCAAACCUGAGGCACCGCCUCGGUUAUUUAUACUCUAUUGACAGCUGUUAGACAGUUGGUGCUUUCAGAACUUUGAUUAGUGUACCACAUAUCCUCUUUUUAAUGCAUUUUGAUUUUACUUCAAAAAAAAUUUUAGAGAUAAUUAUAUAAUUUAAACAUGUUAUAACUUUUAAACUGACUACAUAAAAAAUCAUUUUCUCAAUUAAAACUAUUAUUUUGUUAUUUUGUCAAAAACAAACUACUCAUAUUAUUUUUUAAAUGUAAAUUUUUAUAUAAUAUAUUAUAGUUUUACUCGUGGGACAAAUUUUAGUCGUUAGUUAUGUGUUUUACAAAUUUUUUUUUGUAGAUAAACAUGUUCAAGAGUCGGAGUACUACUUAUCCAAAUUUAAAGGCGCGCUCGAAAUAUG